rnacentral:rRNA from 1 species
UACGAAGGGGGCUAGCGUUGCUCGGAAUCACUGGGCGUAAAGGGUGCGUAGGCGGGUCUUUCAGUCAGGGGUGAAAUCCUGGAGCUCAACUCCAGAACUGCCUUUGAUACUGAGGAUCUUGAGUUCGGGAGAGGUGAGUGGAACUGCGAGUGUAGAGGUGAAAUUCGUAGAUAUUCGCUAGAACACCAGUGGCGAAGGCGGCUCACUGGCCCGAUACUGACGCUGAGGCACGAAAGCGUGGGGAGCAAACAGG